AACGCACCUUGCGCUCCUUGGUAUUCCGAGGAGCAUGCCUGUUUGAGUGUCAUGUAAUCAUCAACCUUCCGGUUACUUUUUUUUGUAGUCGGUCGGAUUGGAUUUGGAGGUUAUGUUGGACUUGAUGUUCGACUCCUCUUGAAUGUAUUAGCUGGACUCUGUCGCUCCGUAGCGAGUUACUUACGCGGUGUGAUAAUUAUCUACGCUUGGUUGUCUUUGGAACGUUGUGGUCUGGCUUCUAAUCGUCCUCUCUGGACAAUAUUUCAAUCUUUGACCUCAAAUCAGGUAGGACUACCCGCUGAACUUAA
rnacentral:rRNA from 1 species